UGUGCCUGAGGACACCACAGUGAUGCCAGCUGGUACACUAACAGUAGUCCGGGGAUCUGUUCUUCUCUGGGUCAGGGAGUGUUGUAGUCCAGGGAUCUGUUCUCUGGUUCAGGGAGUGUUGUAGUCAGGUCCUGGUCUUCUCUGGGUCAGGGAAUGUUGUAGUCAGGUCCUGGUCUUCUCUGGGUCAGGGAGUGUUGUAGUCAGGUCCUGGUCUUCUCUGGGUCAGGGAGUGUUGUAGUCAGGUCCUGGUCUUCUCUGGGUCAGGGAGUGUUGUAGUCAGGUCCUGGUCUUCUCUGGGUCAGGGAGUGUUGUAGUCAGGUCCUGGUCUUCUCUGGGUCAGGGAGUGUUGUAGUCAGGUCCUGGUCUUCUCUGGGUCAGGGAGUGUUGUAGUCAGGUCCUGGUCUUCUCUGGGUCAGGGAGUGUUGUAGUCAGGUCCUGGUCUUCUCUGGGUCAGGGAGUGUUGUAGUCAGGUCCUGGUCUUCUCUGGGUCAGGGGUGUUGUAGUCAGGUCCUGGUCUUCUCUGGGUCAGGGGAGUGUUGUAGUCAGGUCCUGGUCUUCUCUGGGUCAGGGAGUGUUGUAGUCAGGUCCUGGUCUUCUCUGGGUCAGGGAGUGUUGUAGUCAGGUCCUGGUCUUCUCUGGGUCAGGGAGUGUUGUAGUCAGGUCCUGGUCUUCUCUGGGUCAGGGAGUGUUGUAGUCAGGUCCUGGUCUUCUCUGGGUCAGGGAGUGUUGUAGUCAGGUCCUGGUCUUCUCUGGGUCAGGGAGUGUUGUAGUCAGGUCCUGGUCUUCUCUGGGUCAGGGAGUGUUGUAGUCAGGUCCUGGUCUUCUCUGGGUCAGGGAGUGUUGUAGUCAGGUCCUGGUCUUCUCUGGGUCAGGGAGUGUUGUAGUCAGGUCCUGGUCUUCUCUGGGUCAGGGAGUGUUGUAGUCAGGUCCUGGUCUUCUCUGGGUCAGGGAGUGUUGUAGUCAGGUCCUGGUCUUCUCUGGGUCAGGGAGUGUUGUAGUCAGGUCCUGGUCUUCUCUGGGUCAGGGAGUGUUGUAGUCAGGUCCUGGUCUUCUCUGGGUCAGGGAGUGUUGUAGUCAGGUCCUGGUCUUCUCUGGGUCAGGGAGUGUUGUAGUCAGGUCCUGGUCUUCUCUGGGUCAGGGAGUGUUGUAGUCAGGUCCUGGUCUUCUCUGGGUCAGGGAGUGUUGUAGUCAGGUCCUGGUCUUCUCUGGGUCAGGGAGUGUUGUAGUCAGGUCCUGGUCUUCUCUGGGUCAGGGAGUGUUGUAGUCAGGUCCUGGUCUUCUCUGGGUCAGGGAGUGUUGUAGUCAGGUCCUGGUCUUCUCUGGGUCAGGGAGUGUUGUAGUCAGGUCCUGGUCUUCUCUGGGUCAGGGAG